AUUGAGAUAUUAUUUAUUAUUCUUGGGUGAAAUUUUAAUAAUAAUUUUUCUUUGGUUUAAGAUUUUAAUAUGAAAAUUAAUUUAUAGACUAGGAUUAGAUACCCUAUUAUUUUAAUCAUAAAAAUUAUUACCAUAGUAUUAUUAGUUAAGAUCUUGAAAUUAAAAGGAUUUGGCGGUAAUUUAGUCUUUUCAGAGGAACCUGUUCUUUAAUCGAUAAUCCACGUUGGAUUUUACCUUGAUUUUUGUUUAUAUAUCUCUGUCAUUGAAUGUUUUAUUAGAAUAUUUUCUUUGAUUAUUAAUUUGGAAAAUGUCAGGUCAAGGUGUAACUAUAUCAAGGGUUGUAAUGGGUUACAUUUAAUGUUAUUUAUUGGAUUUUAGUCUUGAAUAAGACUUAUGAAAGAGGAUUUGAAAGUAAUUUUUAUUAUUUUUUAAGAAUGAUUUUAGCUCUAAAUUAUGCACACAUCGCCCGUCACUUUCAUUAUUAAGAUGAAAUAAGUCGUAACAAAGUAAUUCUACUGGAAAGUGGAGUUU
rnacentral:rRNA from 1 species